ACGGGAGGCAGCAGUGAGGGAUAUUGCACAAUGGGCGAAAGCCUGAUGCAGCAACGCCGCGUGAGGGAUGACGGUUUUCGGAUUGUAAACCUCUGUCUUCGGUGAAGAUAAUGACAUUAGCCGAGGAGGAAGCCACGGCUAACUACGUGCCAGCAGCCGCGGUAAUACGUAGGUGGCAAGCGUUGUCCGGAUUUACUGGGUGUAAAGGGAGCGCAGGCGGGGAAUCAAGUCAGUGGUGAAAUGCAUAGGCUUAACCUAUGAACUGCUAUUGAAACUGACUCUCUUGAGUGGAGUAGAGGCAAACGGAAUUCCGAGUGUAGCGGUGAAAUGCGUAGAUAUUCGGAGGAACACCAGUGGCGAAGGCGGCUUGCUGGGCUUUUACUGACGCUGAGGCUCGAAAGUGUGGGGAGCAAACAGGAUUAGAUACCCUGGUA
rnacentral:rRNA from 1 species